GCUAUACAUGCAAGUCGAGCGAACAGAUAAGGAGCUUGCUCCUUUGACGUUAGCGGCGGACGGGUGAGUAACACGUGGGUAACCUACCUAUAAGACUGGAAUAACUCCGGGAAACCGGGGCUAAUGCCGGAUAACAUAUAGAACCGCAUGGUUCUAUAGUGAAAGAUGGUUUUGCUAUCACUUAUAGAUGGACCCGCGCCGUAUUAGCUAGUUGGUAAGGUAAUGGCUUACCAAGGCGACGAUACGUAGCCGACCUGAGAGGGUGAUCGGCCACACUGGAACUGAGACACGGUCCAGACUCCUACGGGAGGCAGCAGUAGGGAAUCUUCCGCAAUGGGCGAAAGCCUGACGGAGCAACGCCGCGUGAGUGAUGAAGGGUUUCGGCUCGUAAAACUCUGUUAUUAGGGAAGAACAUAUGUGUAAGUAACUGUGCACAUCUUGACGGUACCUAAUCAGAAAGCCACGGCUAACUACGUGCCAGCAGCCGCGGUAAUACGUAGGUGGCAAGCGUUAUCCGGAAUUAUUGGGCGUAAAGCGCGCGUAGGCGGUUUCUUAAGUCUGAUGUGAAAGCCCACGGCUCAACCGUGGAGGGUCAUUGGAAACUGGGAAACUUGAGUGCAGAAGAGGAAAGUGGAAUUCCAUGUGUAGCGGUGAAAUGCGCAGAGAUAUGGAGGAACACCAGUGGCGAAGGCGACUUUCUGGUCUGUAACUGACGCUGAUGUGCGAAAGCGUGGGGAUCAAACAGGAUUAGAUACCCUGGUAGUCCACGCCGUAAACGAUGAGUGCUAAGUG
rnacentral:rRNA from 2 species